UUUAUCCUUGCAAAAUUAAAUAGUUUCAGGCAUUUUGGCUGAUGUGAAUGAAACGGAACGAAGUGGUGUGCAAUUGUGGAGAGCUCAAGGUGAUUUAGAUGAUGAUGUUAUAGAGGAAUUCUAUGAUAGAGCACAUUUUACUGAAGAAAUAUGGAAAAGGGAUAACAGGACGAUAGAUUUUCUGAUCUAUGAAGAUGAGGCGGAGGACUUAGCAUCAUUUUUAGAUGAUCACAAAGUUUCCCACAGAGUGCUGAUAGACGAUGUUAGACAGACAGUGGAUGAGGCUUUAUUGAAGACCUUCCCCACCAGACGUAAUGCUUUAUCGGGAAGUACGUUUACCUGGACUUCGUACCCGUCUCUGGCUGAAAUCAACACAUAUUUAAGAAAGUUGGCUUCAGAUUAUCCCAAGUACUGCUCGCUCACAGAGCUUGGGAAGACUUCACCACGAAAAAAUCCUA